CAAAGGAUGUACCUGGUAGUGAGGUGUGGGCUCUUUAAUUAUUUCCAGUGUUAAAGCUGUGAAAGGAAGCUGUUUAUGCUUUGGCUGGCAGCAAAGCAGAGCUACCUCUUAACUCUCUUAAGAUCUGAAAUAGUAGAAAAAAGAAAAAGUAACUCAGGCCCCAGCUCCUCAACUGCAACUACUGGAUGCAUCCCUGGUCAGAUCCUUCAGGGAGUUUCUUAGGAUUAGAUUGGGACUGUUGUCAUCAGCCUCAGGAGCUCCUGAAGGGUGAAGAGCAAGUGGUGAUGAAUGCUCAAAAUCAGGAAAAGUGAAAAUUGCAGUGUGUUGAUUUGCAGUGAUUGAGAAUGUUCCAGUUUUUAACAGCCACCUUUGACUGAAAUGGACAUUAAAGGGCACUUUCAAGUUAAACUCAUCACGAGACUAUGUGAAAAUGAGAGUGUCUGAUGUCUGUUUUAGGGCUAGAAUCACUGUUACUGGAGGCUAAAUUCCUGAAAAGUACUGCAUCCACACUGAGGACAGAAGAACAUAAUGUGAGCAAGUUCAGAAAAAACCCAAACCUGUCCACAACUGCACAAGGUGAUAAAGAAAGGACCGGGGUUUCCAGAAGCACCUCUUUUAUGGGGUUGGAUGUUCUGCUGCUUGCCUGCCAUGAGUUUAAAAUGUGCCAGCUGUGGAAAA